rnacentral:misc_RNA from 1 species
GUCAAAAUCGAGUAAAUUGUCGCAUUUUUCGCGCAGGUCUGCUUCAUUCGACGAUGCAACUGGCAUACAUAGCAUUCGGAAUGUAAAAUGCGAUGGAAAUAGCGUUUAAACGUCGAAAUAUCUCCAACAGGACGGAUAUAACGCACAGUUUUCUUCAAAAUCGUGUAAAUGGUCGCAUUUUUCGCACAGAUCUUUAUGUUUCGACGAUGAAACUGGCGUGCAUAGCAUUCGGCGUGUAAAAUGCGAUGGAAAUAGCGUUUAAACGGCGAAAUAUCUCCAACAGGAGCGAAAUAACGCACAGUUUUCUUCGAAAUCGAGAAUAUGGUCGCAUUUUUCGCACGGU